GGAAGGAUGUAUGACUUCAGACUGCUGACUGACUAUUGAUCUGCUAUGCCUAUGAAGGAUAUGUAAGAAAGAAAACAGUGGUAAAAGUGGUAUGCAGCUUAACAGGAUUCACUGGCAAUAUGUAAACCAGAUGGAACAAAGUCCCUGCAACCAAGACUUUAAGUCCUAGUGGAGCCAAUUAUACACUUCAUGUACUUUCUGGGACAGAUGAACAGAAAUCCUGUAAUUCAGCUUUCAGAGUCCUCAUCCCCUGAUGAUUCAAUUCUCGACGCCCUGGAUGAUGAAGAGCUGCAGCUCUGGCUCCUCCGCCGAGCCCUGUAUGACCUUCGUCCAGAGACCCAGGACCAACCCCGUCUCUGUUUCCGCUCCAUGUCGCUCUCCCAUACCGCAAAAGGGCUUGCAAGGUCCACCUCUUCCUCCCACUCGACUGGCUAGAUCCUGGAACUAGAACUUGGUGCCAUCCUGCAAAAGAUAAAAGGAAAAAACCGCUCGCACCUGCGAGGUGGUCGCAUGAGCCCAUGCCACUUUGAAAAGAUUAACAGAGGUGGUAUGCCAUUGCCUGCCUCCACAAUCCUGUACUCUGGAGGAGGCCCCCCCAUCCACUUACUAGCCAAGGCCGACCCUGGUUCGCUCCCGAGGCCGCUGCAUGGGCCCAUGCUGCCUCAGGAAAACUAGCAGGGGUGAUGUUCCAUUGCCUGCCUCUGCAACACCGGCCUCUGCAGAAAGUUUCUCAUCCAUUUCAUGGCCAAUGCCGUCCCCACUAGCUCCAAGAUCUGCCGGGGUCAGACUUCCGCAGGUCUGUCCAGGCCAAAGGGGGGGGGGCUCAUGCAGUCACCGCUGUGGCCAGGGCCAAGCUGUGGCUGGCUGCCCCUGUGCACCAAGGGCUCCCCGGCCAUGGAGGCCCCAGUAGGCUGGGGCCUGGUCCCAUAGGCCAGGUGGCCACCCCAUCAAGAUCUCAGAUAGGCCCCGCCUGUGCCCAGUACUGGGCCCCAGAGAGCCACACCACCAGUGCAGGCCCUGGACCAGGCAGUCCCGCCUGCACCGUGGCCUGAGAAGGCCCUGUGGGCCUGGGCGGCUCCCAGUACAUGCUGCACCAAGGGAACAGGCAGUGGGAUGGCCAUCCCACUGCAGCAAGGAAGGCUUCCUAGCCAGCCCGUGCUGCCACCCAGGAAGGCCACCAAGGCCCCAGUGGCCGUGGCAUGUGCUGGGCCUCCUGUACGGGUGGUGGCCUGGGCAGCCCCCCUGCACCACGGUGAGGAAGGCCCCGAGAGCCCUCUCGUGCCUGGGCCCAGGAAGGUCCUGAGGCCCGGGUGACUGCAGCGCACGCUGGGUCACCUGCAUGGGUAGCAAGCCAGGCAGCCCCACCCGCACCACGUCCAGGAGAAAGGCCCCCGUGCCAGCCUGCACCACCAAUCGGGAAGCUCCCCAAGGCCCUGGCUGCCGUGGUAUCUCUGCUGCCUUCUCUUAGCAGCAUCCAAAAUCCUUCUCCCCCUCUCACUGUCUCCAAUGGACUCCAACUGUCCCUGGCUCAUCAUUCCACACCCUCUCAUUGGUUGUUUCUCAGGAGAGGCAGACAAUUUCAGCUGGAGGCAGUCCUGUUUGUCACACAAAUUGCCUAGACCUCCCAACCCCGCUCCCCAAAGAAAGGCUAGCUCUGGUUGGUGUGUGUGUGAACUCAGAAAAUAUUGGAGGUGUGUCACAUGUUGAGUACCUGCAAGAAUUACUGGCCAGGUAUGGGAAGAUUACUAUGCAGAAGUGAAUUUGAAUGGACACCCUGCUGAAAUCACAACACAUAGUUAGAUUCACUGAAUUUAUCUUCUGGCCAUGCUAACAGCCUGUGGAGUCUGAGGCAAAUCCAAAAGAAAUCAAAUCUGGAUCAGAGAGUAACCAGCAACAGUAGCAGGGUAAGAAGUGAAUAUAUCUCAAAUGUCAGAAGAAAGAGGUGAAUUCUGUAGUGGCCAGAUUUGUUUGGUGGUGCCUGGAUUUUUAUGCUGUUGGUAUAAUUGUUUAUUAAUAUUGGU